UACGGGGGGGCAAGCGUUGUUCGGAAUUACUGGGCGUAAAGGGCUCGUAGGCGGCCAAUUAAGUCCGACGUGAAAUCCCCAGGCUUAACCUGGGAACUGCGUCGGAUACUGGAUGGCUUGAAUUCGGGAGAGGGAUGCAGAAUUCCAGGUGUAGCGGUGAAAUGCGUAGAUAUCUGGAGGAAUACCGGUGGCGAAGGCGGCAUCCUGGACCGACAUUGACGCUGAUGAGCGAAAGCUAGGGGAGCAAACGGG
rnacentral:rRNA from 1 species